rnacentral:rRNA from 1 species
UACGUAGGGUGCGAGCGUUAAUCGGAAUUACUGGGCGUAAAGCGAGUGUAGGCGGUUCGGUAAGUCGGAUGUGAAAGCCCCGGGCUCAACCCGGGAAGUGCACUCGAUACUGCCGAGCUAGAGUAUCGGAGAGGUUGGUGGAAUUCUCGGUGUAGAGGUGAAAUUCGUAGAUAUCGAGAGGAACACCGGUGGCGAAGGCGGCCAACUGGACGAAUACUGACGCUGAGACUCGAAAGCGUGGGGAGCAAACAGG